rnacentral:rRNA from 1 species
AUUGAACGCUGGCGGCAGGCUUAACACAUGCAAGUCGAGCGAGCGGCGGACGGGUGAGUAAUGUAUGGGAAACUGCCUGGUGGCGGGGGAUAACUACUGGAAACGGUAGCUAAUACCGCAUACCAUCAGAUGUGCCCAUAUGGGAUUAGCUAGUAGGUGGGGUAAUGGCUCACCUAGGCGACGAUCCUUAGCUGGUCUGAGAGGAUGACCAGCCACACUGGAACUGAGACACGGUCCAGCCUCCUACGGGAGGCAGCAGUGGGGAAUGUGGCACAAUGGGGGAAACCCUGAUGCAGCCAUGCCGCGUGUGUGAAGAAGGCCUUCGGGUUGUAAAGCACUUUCAGCAAGGAGGCGGUACUCGCAGAAGAAGCACCGGCUAACUCCGUGCCAGCCGCCGCGGUAAUUC